GAUGAACGCUGGCGGCGUGCCUAAUACAUGCAAGUCGAGCGAACAGACGAGGAGCUUGCUCCUCUGACGUUAGCGGCGGACGGGUGAGUAACACGUGGAUAACCUACCUAUAAGACUGGGAUAACUUCGGGAAACCGGAGCUAAUACCGGAUAAUAUAUUGAACCGCAGGGUUCAAUAGUGAAAGACGGUUUUGCUGUCACUUAUAGAUGGAUCCGCGCCGCAUUAGCUAGUUGGUAAGGUAACGGCUUACCAAGGCAACGAUGCGUAGCCGACCUGAGAGGGUGAUCGGCCACACUGGAAGUGAGACACGGUCCAGACUCCUACGGGACGCCGCAGUAGGGAAUCUUCCGCAGUGGGCGAAAGCAUGACGGAGCAACGCCGCGUGAGUGAUGAAGGUCUUCGGAUCGUAAAACUCUGUUAUUAGGGAAGAACAAAUGUGUAAGUAAAUAUGCACGUCUUGACGGUACCUAAUCAGAAAGCAACGGCUAACUACGUG
rnacentral:rRNA from 1 species